rnacentral:rRNA from 1 species
UGGGGAAUUUUGGGCAAUGGGCGAAAGCCUGACCCAGCAACGCCGCGUGAAGGAUGAAGUAUUUCGGUAUGUAAACUUCGAAAGAAUAGGAAGAAUAAAUGACGGUACUAUUUAUAAGGUCCGGCUAACUACGUGCCAGCAGCCGCGGUAAUACGUAGGGACCAAGCGUUGUUCGGAUUUACUGGGCGUAAAGGGCGCGUAGGCGGCAAUUCAAGUCAUCUGUGAAAUCUCCGGGCUUAACUCGGAACGGUCAGAUGAUACUGCUUUGCUAGAGUGCAGAAGGGGCAAUCGGAAUUCUUGGUGUAGCGGUGAAAUGCGUAGAUAUCAAGAGGAACACCUGAGGUGAAGACGGGUUGCUGGGCUGACACUGACGCUGAGGCGCGAAAGCUAGGGGAGCAAACGGGAUUAGAUACCCCUGUAGUCCCUGAGCGGGCUGGCAAGGCGCAU